GCUGAAGGCCUGAAGGGGUGUGGCCCGCCUGUGAGUCACCAAGUGGAUCACGUGUCUGCGGUGGCAGCUGAAGGUCCUUUUUUUUUUUUUUUUUUUUUUGGGACGCCCAGGGAAUGGACCGGCUAGAGCUAGGGUGGUGAAAGAAGGGAGGGUGCUGUGGGCCCCCCCUAGAGGGCUCAGCCGCAGAAGGGGAGCCGAUUGGCCUAGACCCAGCCUCUCAAGCUGGAGAAGCAGGGUUUUGCCUGGACUUUGGGAAGCCUGGUUGUGUCCUUGUCCGGGGAGGAAGACGAAAACAGGUCAAACUUAUAUCUGGGUAAUGUUUGUUUAUGCGGACAGCUUCCUCUGGGAAUGAGCACACACGUUAUUUAUGCAAAAGGAUUAGUGUCUGCUUCGGGCGACUGUAAGUGGCCAGAAAGCAAAUUCAACCCAGGCCUCUUAGAAAAACCUAAUGCUACGUCACGCUGCCUAUGUCGUUCACCUCACUUCCUCUCAUCACGGCGCGUUUUAUCACCUCAGAGCAUCACAAGGGAGCCCUGGAAAAAGAGACCACCCGGGACACUGUCCUCCCUAAGAUGAGGAAAAUGCAGCUCGGGGAAAGGACACCCACUCAAGGUCGUCCAGCUCGUGAAUGGUGGGGCCAUGCUGCCCCUCCCCCUCCUUCCCCACGGGGGCCCCGGCCCUUCCGAAGGGGGACACCAGGUUCUGGCGUCUAGAAAAGUCCCUCCUCACCUUCCUCCUCAAUCCCACUCGGCGAAGCUGACUGCUUUGAACCUCUUUGUGUGAUGGACUCCAGGGAUUUGAUUGUGAGGCUCCACCUAUAAAUAUUUACACACAUGUUCACAUGUUGUGUCAAUUCACACCACCAGGUCAUGCUGGACCUCCUGUCCAUCGGCCCACUCCCCACACUCAGGGUGCUAGCACCUUCUUUCGGUGGUGGCAUGGUACCUCACGGCAUGAGGGCCCUAGUGAUGGCCACCAAGGUUGCGCCCUAGUAGGGACGCCAGGGUGGCUCAGUGGUUUAGCGCCUGCCUUCAGCCCAGGGCAUAAUCCUGGGGUCCCGGGAUCGAGUCCCACAUCGGGCUCCCUGCAGGGAUGGAGCCUGCUUCUCCCUCUGCCUGU